rnacentral:misc_RNA from 1 species
UUUCCGUAGGUGAACCUGCGGAAGGAUCAUUAACGAGACUUGCCUUUUGGCAGACCUCCCACCCCCUGUGUACCGUACUUGUUGCUUUGGCAGGCCCGUCCCUCGGGACCGCCGGCGUUCGCGCUGGCCCGCGCCUGCCAGAGGACCAAAAAAAUCUUGUUUUACAUGUCGUCUGAGUAAACUUUAUAAUAAUUAAAACUUUCAACAACGGAUCUCUUGGUUCUG